rnacentral:rRNA from 1 species
AAACUUUUAACAACGGAUCUCUUGGCUCUGGCAUCGAUGAAGAACGCGGCGAAAUGCGAUAAGUAAUGUGAAUUGCAGAAUUCAGUGAAUCAUCGAAUCUUCGAACGCACAUUGCGCCC